GAUUUUGAAUUAGUUCUGUGCGUGUGAUUGAAUAAUUGAUCGGUUUAUUGUUUGGCGGUUGAAUUGUUGAUUCUAGAGCAUAACAUCUUCAAUUGAAUUUAGUUGGUUUAUCAUCUCUUCUUUGAAAAAGAUUGCGAACUAGUUUUGUGCGUAUGAUUGAACGAUUGAUUGAUUGAUUGAUUAUUGAUUGGCGGUUGAAGUGCUGAUUCCUGGAGUAUAAUAUUCUUAGUCAUAGCGAUCAUCAUUGACUCUGUAAAAAUCCUGUGCUCUGUUUUUGCCAUCUAUAGAUUUUGCGCACAAAACUAAGGAAACCCUAUCAGUUAGUUGCUUUUCUUAUAUGUUCUAUCAAAAAUGCUGUGUUGCUUUUAUAGUAGUUUUUGGAGACACGUAUAAUAGGAAUGUUCAGACUUAGAAGCAGGCUUUUGACAUGAAAAAUUAAUUCAUAGCUAAAUCUCGACUCAUCAAUCUGCUAUUGUGUUUCUGAGUGUCUCAUAAACAUUCUGUUGACACUGAAACUGAAUCUGUCCUAGUUUGCUUUUCCUAAAUUGCCAAUGCUCCAAAUCCAAUUUGUGCAGCCCCGCCCCAAUUCCGUUUCAGUGUAUUAAAUAAGAAAAAUUUUACGUGGUGUUACAUUCCUAGGGACAGGGACGUAAUUUUUUUUUCUCUUAUGCUUGUUGAUUGUACUUAAUUGUUAUAGUGGUUGUGUUUUACCUGAUUGUGUAUUCUGGAUAGAUGUAUUGCUAUGCUAUAAAUAAGCCAUAGCUAUAGGGAGGACACAUGUUGAGAAAUGAAUUGAAUCAUUUUCUGUUAUUUCUCUUUCUUUCUCCCUCUGUCUACUGUUUCUCUCCCUUUUCAUCUGAAUUCUCCCUCCAAAUUCCCUCUAAUUCCCAAUUCUUCCUAAACAACCCUCUUGUCAGAUUUGAAGAUUUGACACGUGGUACCUCUAAAGUUUACCAUAAUUAUAGAAAUGAUCAUUAACAUUUGAGAUAAUAGUGUAAAUGCUCCUAAGGUUUAAUAUUAUGAAAAUUUUAAAAGCAAAAUGUAAAAUAAAUGUAUCUCUAUACACAUUAAAAAAAGAAGAAGAAAGGAGUCAAUGGGAAUAAUGGGGGAUGGCUUGGAAGCCAUCCCCUUUGUGCAAGGAGGCUGCCUAAAAGAAAAGAAAUUCUUUUCACAUACAAGAAAAGAAAGAGAAAUAUUGCAAAGAAGGAAUUUUCAAGGAUUGAUACCUUGAAAUUAAUCAGACGUGAGAUUUGAUGCCUUUUCAAUGAGCUCAUCAACCCUUUUGAUACACACAAAUUGAAACCCAUAUUGAUUCUUUUUAUGGCUUCUAAAAAAUUAAUUGGACUUUAGUUUUGUACGUAUAUUGUUUAAUUGGUAGAAGUAUAAGGGUUGAAAUAGGCCUAUCAGUUGCUACAAUGAUUUAAUAAGAUUAUUCAAGGAAAUUGUGUCGUCUAACUAAACUUUUCUAGUACUAGGAAUGCAGGAGUUUCACUUUUGGGCAGAUGCUAAAUAAGAGGGAAAAAAAAAGUGAUUGAGAGAGUGUUGAAUUUCAUUUAGUCAACUAUUAUUUUCUACUAAGAGUUGGGGCUGUCUGAUCUGAUCAAAUGGAUGAUAAGUAUGAGCUGAUGGAGAAUAUUGGGGAAGGUGCCUUUGGCAUGGUCUAUAAAUGCCGUGAUUCCUUGACCACUAAGACUCUAGCUUUGAAGAGAAUUUUUAUUCGAGAUGAGCAUGGAGUGCCUAGCUCAGUGAUAAGAGAAGUUUCACUUUUGAAGGAACUGGAUCACAUUAACAUAGUCAGCAUUGUAGAAUCACUAAUGAUUAAACAUGCUCUCGACAAGGGAUAUCCAUACAAUUCUCUCAUAAUGCCCCUUUCUACUAGGCUGUUAGAUAUUCGGACCAAUUUGGAAUAUGUCGAUCUUGUCUUCGAGCGUCUAGACCUAGACCUAAGGCAAUUCAUGGAAUCCCAUCCAGAGGUUGCAAAGGAUCCGCGUACGAUAAAGAGCUUUAUGUAUCAGAUUCUGAGUGGAGUAAGCUAUUGCCAUUCUCACAAAAUUUUGCAUCGAGAUCUUAAACCUCAGAAUUUGCUUGUGGAUCUGAAUAACAAAAUAGUGAAGCUUGCUGACUUUGGGCUGGGCAGGGCAUUUGGCGUUCCUCUCAGGAGUUAUUCCCACAAUGUGGGAACUCUACCAUACAUGGCACCGGAACUGCUGCUCGAUUUGAAAUACUCUACCCCCAUUGAUCUAUGGUCUGCUGGCUGUAUAUUUGCAGAGAUGGUAACCCAGAAGCCUCUCUUCACGGGAAGUGGCGGAGUUAUCACAAUGCUGGACAUGUUCAGCAUCUUUGGAAUCCCAAACGAGGCAACAUGGCCUGGAGUGACUUCGCAGACUGAUUUCAUUUCCACCGCGACUGAGUUGCAGUUCCACUCGAAUACCAAAAAUCUUGCCGACUUUGUCCCUGGUCUAGAGCCUGCUGGAUUAGAUCUCCUUUCUAAAAUGCUGUGUAUGAAUCCAAGCAGCAGAAUUACAGCUCAUGAGGCACUCAAGCAUCCGUACUUCAGAGAUCUUGAAACUAGUGCUUGAUUGCACAUCCCUGAUCCCUCAUCCUAUAUGCCUGCGCUGGAAAUAUAUCGCCUGUAUUUCUUUUACCUGUGAAUAAAUCAAAAUUUUCAAGUCAAGCAGACAUCCGACGUCUGUGGAAUGGAACAGUCUUCCUAAUCCUAGCUACGCUUUGUAUACCAAACUGGUUUUGGAUUCUGCCAGUGCCAGGAAGAAAACCAAAUCAAAUCCUCCUCUUUCUGCUCUUUAGUGCGUUUCUUAGUUCCGAGCAGAAUGGCCGAUGGUAUUCCAGCAACGAUCUCCUGCCGCAGUGAUCUACCAGAAGAUCUAAUGGUCAAAAUCAAAAUCUUGUCGAGAUUGCCCGUCAAAUCUCUGGUGAGAUUCAGGUGCGUCUGUAAAGGCUGGAACGAACUAAUUCGUUCCCCCAGUUUGUAAUGACAGGGAUGCUGUCGUCAUAAGAGACUGCAUUUUGUAAUGACAAUUUUCUUCGUAGAUUAGACAUAAAUAAUGUGAUACUUAGAGCCAUAAAGAAAGUAAAUUCUCAUUAAUUAGAAAGAUAAGACUCUCUUUCAACCAUUUCAGUGGAUUUUACU